rnacentral:lncRNA from 1 species
GUGGCAAGCAUGUCAUUUUUACGGCUCCAGCUAGGAUGUCAUGUGCUUGGUCCAUGCGGAAAAGUCCGAAAAUUCGAUAAUUGGCUGAGAAAUGUCCUGCGAGUGCAACACUUAUUAAUUAGUGUCCUAUUUUUACAAGUCCGAAAGUUAUUGUCCUAAUUUUCAAAUCAACCUAAGUUACUAUCCUAAAAUACCCUGAAGAAUCUAUAAUUUGUCUCGUGAUUUUGAACUCUGCAGCUUCAGACAUGUAAAACUCUGGAAAAGGGAGAUCGUUUGAUGGAGGCGGAGACGUGACAGAAAUUUGCUCGCAUCGAAUGAAACAAAGGGCUGAGGGAGUUAUGGUCGGAGGCGAAAGAGAGAGUUAUUGUCGGAGGCGCAGCUAAAGCGGAGAUGCAGCGAGAAGGGAGGCUAAAAGAAAGAAAUAUUUUUUUUAAUAAAGAAAUACUUCAUUUAUUUACAAAAAAAGUUCUAGAAGAAGACAACACACAUUUUAAUAAAAAUAAUUAAAUGUAUUGUGAGUGAAGAAAGAGUCUCACUUAAAAAAUACUCCAUUCGUCCCACUUUAAUAGACUCACUUUUUUUGAAUACGGAGAUUAAGAAACUUACUUUUUAGGAGGAAAGUAGUGGUCCACACCAAUUAAGUACAUUAUUUGUACUCAAAAUGAAAACCGAGCCUAUUCUAAUGAGACGUCCGGAAAAAGAAAACGAGCAUAUUAGAGUGGGACGGAGAGAGUAGUUAAUAACCAUAAUUAAGAGUAUUGUGAGUGAAGAAUAUGCUCAUCAUGUGAUCAAAAGUUUUCAAAAAAUAAAAGAGACUAAUUUUUGUAAAUGUCUCAAAAUAAUAAAAAUUUUGAACAUCGAAUUUUUUUUGGAGUAUAUAUUUUUUGUGAAUGGAUAAAAAAAAAAUUAUCGAAUACAAAUCCAAAUAGAUAUAUAUAUAAAGAUAUGAACACUAGGUACCAUGGCAAGAGCGCGGCUGAUCGUGAACAUCGGUACCACCACUCCAGCGGAUCGAAUAGCAGAAGCCGAUGCCUCCUACUCCAAAACGAAUCCAACGAGAGCGAAAUUCGCCGCUAUGACCAUGAGAGCUCUAGCCUCAGACACCGUGAUUGUGCUAUUUGUAAAGUGUGAUUGAAAUCAAGCAUGGACCU